UACGUAGGGGGCAAGCGUUGUCCGGAAUUAUUGGGCGUAAAGCGCGCGCAGGCGGUCCUUUAAGUCUGAUGUGAAAGCCCACGGCUUAACCGUGGAGGGCCAUUGGAAACUGGAGGACUUGAGUACAGAAGAGGAGAGUGGAAUUCCACGUGGAGCGGUGAAAUGCGUAGAGAUGUGGAGGAACACCAGUGGCGAAGGCGACUCUCUGGUCUGUAACUGACGCUGAGGCGCGAAAGCGUGGGUAGCGAACAGG
rnacentral:rRNA from 1 species